AUGCUUUAUUCCUUUAAGACCCAGGAAGAUGGGAGAAGAGAUCACUUUGACACCCUAAAGGACGACACCAAAAGACUACAACAUGACAAAAAUCUUUUGGAGGAACAUCUGCCUAUUCCAGGAGGGAUAUCAGGAAACAUGUCCAGGCAGAAACACAAAUUGAGAAAACGUCUGCAGCAGCAUACAAAAUUACCACAACAGGACAAAUAAUAAAAUAUUUACCAUGACACAGUAAGUCUCCCUUACCAUGGCAGCAUAGAGCAGUCUCUCCAACAACAUACUUUCAGUGUUAAGUCAUGGAAGUGGUGUCAGAAAAUGGUUUAUUGUAAAUUACGGCCUGGAUUGCCAUAUAUCCACUACACCUACAGGAAUCUGAACUCUGAAGUCAUUUCGAGGUAGGGUUACAUCCAGAAGAAAGGAUAUCUUCCCUGGGAGAUAAAACAAUACAGCACUUCUAUGUUUUACAGAUGUAGUGAGAGGAAUAAAAAACAUGGGAAAUGGACAUCAAGCUGGGGGAAACUUUUCUGAAACCACACAGCUUUUUCCAGAAAAGGCAAUUAAAAAGGCUUGUUUCUUGAGCAUUAGUACAAAAUCUGCCCCUCCUUUGGCCAUUAAACCAUAAUAGAGUCAUCUUCUGAUUUUAAUUUAAUCUGCUCUUAUCACUUCGUUUGAAACAAGCAAUAUUUUUGCCAUCUAUUUGAUCACCAUAGCGUGUGUUACAGCUUGCACAGAACAUGCCAGCAUGAAUAUGUCAAUAAACAGUUAAAUCACACAACUUCUGUGGCAGCAUUUCAUUGCUCUGAGUAUCUUUCCUUGGCCUUUCUUCUUUUACCAAGCAGAGAAUUUUGGGCCCCCAAAACAGCAACUAACCCUAACCUUUAUCUGAGCUGCCUCAGUAGACGUGCCCCACCAGCACCAUGAUUAAGCAGACGGAAAGGCCGUGUUGCAUUUAACAGCAAAUAAAUUAAUGCUGUGGAACAGUGAGAGCCAAACUGAGGUUUUCAAAGUUGGAAUAUUUCUUUUAAAAAUAGAAAAUGUUGUUUUUACACACAGAAAGGGGGAUUUCAUUCACAAAUACCAAGAUCUGAAAAACAGAAGAGUAAGCUUGAUAGAGCUGAUUGACUGGAGAAG
rnacentral:lncRNA from 1 species